rnacentral:ncRNA from 1 species
AAUAAAGCUGUGAAGGAAAGAGUAGCACAUAGAGCAUUCAAAAGAGAGCCGGGGAAGGUGAAAGCCGGUAGUGCAAAGUGUGUGAACAUGGCUCCGGAGCUUGUUUGCUGAAGCUUAGUAGGCAUUCACGGUUUAUCCGUUAUCUUCAGGUUAUCGAUUAAACCUGCUAAGGCUUGAGUCGUGAGGCUCGAGCGAAUUAGGGUGGUAACGCGGCACCUCGCCCCUAAA